rnacentral:rRNA from 1 species
GGGGCCGCCUUCGCCACCGGUAUUCCUCCAGAUCUCUACGCAUUUCACCGCUACACCUGGAAUUCUACCCCCCUCUACGAGACUCAAGCUUGCCAGUAUCAGAUGCAGUUCCCAGGUUGAGCCCGGGGAUUUCACAUCUGACUUAACAAACCGCCUGCGUGCGCUUUACGCCCAGUAAUUCCGAUUAACGCUUGCACCCUCCGUAUUACCGCGGCUGCUGGCACGGAGUUAGCCGGUGCUUCUUCUGCGGGUAACGUCAAUGAGCAAAGGUAUUAACUUUACUCCCUUCCUCCCCGCUGAAAGUACUUUACAACCCGAAGGCCUUCUUCAUACACGCGGCAUGGCUGCAUCAGGCUUGCGCCCAUUGUGCAAUAUUCCCCACUGCUGCCUCCCGUAGGAGUCUGGACCGUGUCUCAGUUCCAGUGUGGCUGGUCAUCCUCUCAGACCAGCUAGGGAUCGUCGCCUNGGUGAGCCGUUACCCCACCUACNAGCUAAUCCCAUCUGGGCACAUCCGAUGGCAAGAGGCCCGAAGGUCCCCCUCUUUGGUCUUGCGACGUUAUGCGGUAUUAGCUACCGUUUCCAGUAGUUAUCCCCCUCCAUCAGGCAGUUUCCCAGACAUUACUCACCCGUCCGCCACUCGUCAGCGAAGCAGCAAGCUGCUUCCUGUUACCGUUCGACUUGCAUGUGUUAGGCCUGCCG